AUUGAACGCUGGCGGAAUGCUUUACACAUGCAAGUCGGACGGCAGCACGGGGGCAACCCUGGUGGCGAGUGGCGAACGGGUGAGUAAUACAUCGGAACGUGCCCAGUCGUGGGGGAUAACGUAGCGAAAGUUACGCUAAUACCGCAUACGAUCUACGGAUGAAAGCGGGGGACCGGAGGGCCUCGCGCGAUUGGAGCGGCCGAUGUCAGAUUAGGUAGUUGGUGAGGUAAAGGCUCACCAAGCCGACGAUCUGUAGCUGGUCUGAGAGGACGACCAGCCACACUGGGACUGAGACACGGCCCAGACUCCUACGGGAGGCAGCAGUGGGGAAUUUUGGACAAUGGGCGCAAGCCUGAUCCAGCCAUUCCGCGUGCAGGACGAAGGCCUUCGGGUUGUAAACUGCUUUUGUACGGAACGAAAAGGCUCUGGUUAAUACCUGGGGCUCAUGACGGUACCGUAAGAAUAAGCACCGGCUAACUACGUGCCAGCAGCCGCAGUAA
rnacentral:rRNA from 1 species